AGCGAACGCUGGCGGCAGGCUUAACACAUGCAAGUCGAGCGCCGUAGCAAUACGGAGCGGCAGACGGGUGAGUAACACGUGGGAACGUACCUUUUGGUUCGGAACAACCCAGGGAAACUUGGGCUAAUACCGGAUAAGCCCUUACGGGGAAAGAUUUAUCGCCGAAAGAUCGGCCCGCGUCUGAUUAGCUAGUUGGUGAGGUAAUGGCUCACCAAGGCGACGAUCAGUAGCUGGUCUGAGAGGAUGAUCAGCCACACUGGGACUGAGACACGGCCCAGACUCCUACGGGAGGCAGCAGUGGGGAAUAUUGGACAAUGGGCGCAAGCCUGAUCCAGCCAUGCCGCGUGAGUGAUGAAGGCCCUAGGGUUGUAAAGCUCUUUUGUGCGGGAAGAUAAUGACUGUACCGCAAGAAUAAGCCCCGGCUAACUUCGUGCCAGCCGCCGCGGUAACAC
rnacentral:rRNA from 1 species